GAUGAACGCUGGCGGCGUGCCUAAUACAUGCAAGUCGAGCGAACGGACGAGAAGCUUGCGUCUCUGAUGUUAGCGGCGGACGGGUGAGUAACACGUGGAUAACCUACCUAUAAGACUGGGAUAACUUCGGGAAACCGGAUCUAAUACCGGAUAAUAUUUUGAACCGCAUGGUUCAAGAGUGAAAGACGGUCUUUCUGUCACUUAUAGAUGGAUCCGCGCUGCAUUAGCUAGUUGGUAAGGUAACGGCUUACCAAGGCAACGAUGCAUAGCCGACCUGAGAGGGUGAUCGGCUACACUGGAACUGAGACACGGUACAGACUCCUACGGGAGGCAGCAGUAGGGAAUCUUCCGCAAUGGGCGAAAGCCUGACGGAGCAACGCCGCGUGAGUGAUGAAGGUCUUCGGAUCGUAAAACUCUGUUAUUAGGGAAGAACAUAUGUGUAAGUAACUGUGAACAUAUUGACGGUACCUAAUCAGAAAGCCACGGCUAACUACGUG
rnacentral:rRNA from 1 species